GAUGAACGCUGGCGGCGUGCCUAAUACAUGCAAGUCGAGCGAACAGAUGAGGAGCUUGCUCCUCUGACGUUAGCGGCGGACGGGUGAGUCACACGUGGAUAACCUCCCUAUCAGACUGGGAUAACUUCGGGAAACCGGCGCUAAUACCGGAUGAUAUAUUGCACCGCAUGGUUCAAUAGUGAAAGACGGUUUUGCUGUCACUUCUCGAUGGAUCCGCGCCGCAUUAGCUAGUUGGUAAGGUAACGGCUUAUCAAGGCAACGAUGCGUAGCCGACGUGAGAGGGUGAUCGGCCACACGGGAACGUAGACACGGUCCAGGCUCCUGCGGGAGGCAGCAGUAGGGAAUCUGCCGCAAUGGGCGAAAGCCUUACGGAGCAACGCCGCGUGAGUGAUGAAGGUCUUCGGUUCGUAAAACUCUGUUAUUAGUUAAGAACAAAUGUGUAAGGAACUAUGCACUUCUUGACGGUACCGAAUCAGAAAGCCACGGCUAACUACGUG
rnacentral:rRNA from 1 species